UCCCUGGUAGUCCAGUGGCUAAGAAGCUGCAUUGCAGAUGCAGGAGGCCUGGGUCCAAUCCCUGGUCAGGGAA
rnacentral:tRNA from 1 species